rnacentral:lncRNA from 1 species
GGUCUUCAUGAGAAUAAUCUGUGUGUCUACUCUCCAUAAAAUUAGAAUUUGGUCUAAGAAUAAUAAUUCUUGCACAUUAUGUUCAUAAACUCAUAUUUGACUUUUUCUCAACAUGAAAGUAUUUUUUCUACACUUAUGUGUUAUGAUAGAAAUACGAUCAGAUGUUUUAACAUAAGAUCCUCUUGAAUUUUUUGCUAUAAAAAGGAAACAUCUUCAGCGUAGAAAUAUUUGGAAAAGAGAGAAAUUUAUUUAUGACAUGUUGUCAAUUUACUCUGAUUUCAAAGUUUUUCAUAUGCGCAAUUUUCUCUCUAAUUUCAAAGUUUUUGGACAAUUCUAAAUUAUAUUUUAUUAAUAAAAUGACCACAACAUAGUCUUGUCCAUCAUUUUUUUUUGGAAUGAUCAUGUUUUAAAAGAAAAAAGU